UUUCCCAUAAAUUGCAUUAAAUAUAUUGCCUUUUGCCUUUCCAUACUUUUAUCUUCGUGUGUUACAGUGUGCCUUUUAAGCCGAGAACUUCUGAAACAAAAUUUCGUUGUGCCUUGCACAAUGAC